rnacentral:rRNA from 1 species
GAGUUUGAUUAUGGCUCAGGACGAACGCUGGCGGCGUGCCUAAUACAUGCAAGUCGAGCGGAGUUGAAUAAGUGCUUGCACUAAUUCAACUUAGCGGCGAACGGGUGAGUAACACGUAAAGAACCUGCCUCAUAGACCAGGACAACUACUGGAAACGGUAGCUAAUACCGGAUAACAUAUUUUUCUGCAUGGAAGAAUAUUGAAAGUCGGUCAUGCUGACACUAUGAGAUGGCUUUGCGGUGCAUUAGCUAGUUGGUAGGGUAAAGGCCUACCAAGGCGACGAUGCAUAGCCGACCUGAGAGGGUGAUCGGCCACACUGGGACUGAGACACGGCCCAGACUCCUACGGGAGGCAGCAGUAGGGAAUCUUCCGCAAUGGACGAAAGUCUGACGGAGCAACGCCGCGUGAGUGAAGAAGGAUUUCGGUUCGUAAAACUCUGUUGUUAGGGAAGAAUGAUUGUAUAGUAACUAUAUACAGUAGAGACGG